rnacentral:rRNA from 1 species
UGGGGAAUAUUGCGCAAUGGGGGAAACCCUGACGCAGCAACGCCGCGUGAGCGAUGAAGGUCUUCGGAUUGUAAAGCUCUGUCUUUGGGGACGAUAAUGACGGUACCCAAGGAGGAAGCCACGGCUAACUACGUGCCAGCAGCCGCGGUAAUACGUAGGUGGCAAGCGUUGUCCGGAUUUACUGGGCGUAAAGAGUAUGUAGGCGGACAUUUAAGUCAGAUGUGAAAUUCCCGGGCUUAACCUGGGAGCUGCAUUUGAUACUGGGUGUCUAGAGUGCAGGAGAGGAAAGUGGAAUUCCUAGUGUAGCGGUGAAAUGCGUAGAGAUUAGGAAGAACACCAGUGGCGAAGGCGACUUUCUGGACUGUAACUGACGCUGAGAUACGAAAGCGUGGGGAGCAAACA